ACCCAACCACACACACACACACACACACACACACACACACACACACGGGGGGGAGGGAGGGAUGUAUUUGCCCAUCAAAUUCGACCCGUGUGUCAGUGCCAACCUCACUUUCAGGUGGGCUUUGGGCAGGGGAGGGGAGAUGCAAUUUAUUUUCAAACAGGAUUAGGGACAUUAACCAUUGUGAUACUGUUUUACUUGGCAGUGAGGGAUUCCCCCUUGAUUUAAUUGAUUUCUUGAUUGAUUUUUAAUGUAUUCAAGCCUGGGCUCCCUUCUCUCUCUCUCUCCAGACCACUUCACCGACUCUCCUGUUGGCGUUCUCCUUACCGGUAGCAUGACCUUUUGGCCUUUUGCAUAAGACACAGCCUUCCUUACUGGGUCAAUGUAUAAUGUUCUGAACAUGGAAUGAUGGCUGUAUGUUUCUGUAGACUGCUGUAGAUCUGGUUUUAGCUGAGUCUUUACAUUUAGAAGCUAAAAGAUUAAAAAAGAAGAAAAAAAAGAAAAAUGAAAAAAACGUUUUUUUCAUGUGCUUUGUAGCUAAAAAAAAAAGAAAAAGAAAAAAAAAAGGAGAAAAUAUUCCUUUCCCGUUUCCCCUUCCCCCCUUUAUUUAAAAAAAGAAAAGAAAAAUCUUUUGCAACCGUGCUAAGAGGUAUUCUCCUCUUCUCCAUUCCUCAUUUUAACAGGAAUGAAUUUGCGUUUGUUUUCAUUUAAUUUCCCUUUUUGUGUUUAUUUGUGCCCUGCCUCUUUAAAAAGAGAAAAGGAGGGGGUCUUUAUUAGCCUGGAGUGAUAAGACUACAAUGCAAGACCAUGACUGUGGGUCAGGUAUCCAGCAGGGGAUGUCUUUCUACUUUAUAUUUAUUUAUUCUUUUCCCCUAGUUUAAUAACGACUCUUUGUUCUGAUUUAUUUUUUUUAACUCUUUCCAGUGAAUGCUUUUUUGUGCUGCUUUUUUCCUCCUCUGAUCCUUCCUUUUAGUGAAUGGUGUGUUCUCUCUCUCUCUCUCUCUCUCUCUCUCAUGUGGGGAUGUUUGUGCAGCAAAAACAAACAAAAAAAACCCAAAAAAUAAAAAAAAAAUACAAAAAAAACCCAAAAACAAAAAAAGAAAGAAAGAAAAUGUUUAAAAAGUUUAACACACACACACACACAAAAUCACACAAAAAAAUUAAAAAAAAACAAAAUCAAAUGUAGUGUUUACAUUAAAGCCACCGUUUUCAUGACCAAUCCUUCGUCAUUUCUACUUUGAUUAGUAAUCAGACAUCGUCACAGUUUCACUUUUCAGAGUUACCUUUGCUGAAGAAAACCAGUCACACCUGUUUAAAAUAAAAUGAAUAAAUAAAGAGGAAACUAAAUAUAU
rnacentral:lncRNA from 1 species